rnacentral:lncRNA from 1 species
GCACCAGGUUGAUGUGGUUCUGGAAGCUGCUGAGGGCCACGUAGACCUGCCCGCAGCCCGCAUAGGGGCAGGGGAUGGGGUCUGGAAGCCCCUCAGGGGUGGGUGAGCGGCAUCGGCGGCUGCGGCGGCGCCUCUCAGGCUCUUUAGGGAUCUCAUAGAUGAUGGCCGACAUGUCACUGCCGUCAGCAUCCUCUGCUGGCAGAGGUGGGGAGGACUCUCGAGGGGGUUCCAGGGGGGGCUCCGGGGAGCACUCAGCUGCUGCACAGGGCGGCACCUCCUCCUGCUUCAGCGCCAGUGCUUUCUCUUCC